CGCACACACACACACACACACACACACACACACACACACACACAAAAAGCACACGCAAGAGCACGUCCGACUGGACCCACACGUGGUGGCGGACGAGAAGACGACGACAAUGACGAUGAUGAUGUUCUCCCUUCUACUUCUACUCUGCAUACACUGUCCUGUCAGCAUGUCAGUGACCGUGAGCUCGUCUAAAACCAAAGUGGAGGUCCAUGAACACACAGAUGCCGUCCUGUCCUGCGACUUCCGCACCGAGAAGGACCAGAACCCUCGAAUCGAGUGGAAGAAAAAAGAAAAAGCUGUGACCUUUGUCUACUUUAAUAACAAAUUCAUCGGCUCGUACGCAGGCCGGGCCAAGAUGGAGGGAGCCGCUCUGACCAUCCACUCUGUCACACAGAAAGACUCCGGCGAGUAUCGCUGUGAGGUGACCGCCAGCGACGACCACGUCAACUUCGGAGAGGCCACGGUGACCCUCGAUGUGCACGGUAUGCGUCUGUCAUCCACAAUAUUAGUGCCCCCCCACAUCCCGUCCUGCGAGGUGCCCUCCUCGGUGUUUGCGGGCUCCGACCUGGAGCUCCUGUGCAAAGACAAGCAGAGCGUGCCCCCGGCGACGUACAGCUGGUACAAAGACAACAGGGCCCUGAAGGUCUCGUCCGACGCGGCGUACAGCAUGGACGCGCGCAGAGGCACGCUGAAGUUUACAAGCGUAUCCAAAGUGGACUCUGGGAUGUAUCGCUGCGAGUCCUCCAACAGUGUGGGGGCGCCCAAGAGCUGCGUGGCGCAACAACUAAAAGUUAUUGACUAUCCGGUGGACAUCACCAUUUUGAUCGCCGGCGCUUCGGGUUUUGUGAUCGUCACGCUCCUCUGCUGCAUCUGUGUGUGCGUCUGCCGCCGUCGAGGAUGCCGCGAGAGGGGUCCGAAAACAUCAUCGCUAUUGUGAGCAGUGAAUAUGCCGACUAUCGUAAUAUCUUCUACGAUCGUGAUGACCAUCUCCCGUUUUUUUCUCCCUCCAACCAGAAGAGAAGAAAACAAAAAGCACCAAGUCGUACAACCCUCCUCCUCCUCCUCCUCCUCCUCCUCCGCCCAUCCACAACAUCAAGACCUACAAACCCACUCAGUCCUUCAUGAUCUGAUUUGUGUCAUGAUGUCAAAGCAAUCCAAAAGUCCACAUUUAUUGAGCAACACACUGGACCGUUUCGCCCCACGCUGGUAUUUUCUGAAAGACCAAAACAUAAAGCAGACUUUUGUCAUAAUCCUUGCUGGAGUCCAGACACAAUUGUGGCUCAAGGGCAAUUUGUGCCAUGUCGAAGUAACUUCUUUUUUAUUAAGAGGGUUUGAUUAUUUGCUUUUUCUGUGACACUAAAGGCCCCAGCUUCACAAGUCGACUGACUUAUUUUGGCAAACUAAUGAAGAUUCCCGCUGUGUUUUAUCUAUUUUUUUUGUCCAUGCACAGAACCUUUAUUUUUGUCGUUAUCAUAUUCAUAUACUCUGUUUUAACAAACUCUAUGUGUUGUGUGUAAAUGUGUUAUAGUUACUCUCUUUCACUUUUUGUUUGCGCGUGAACUAAGGAACAAAUGGGCGGGUGUCUGCAAACACUGAAAGAUCUUUGUACUGAUUUCAGCGUUUGGACAAACAAAUAUAAUAAAUCAGCAUAAAUCUGACAGCCUCUUCAGCCGAAAAGAUUGGAGUUGCGCAUUUCUAAAUUCAAACUUCAUCUUUCAAAAUACAUUUCAAGUUUGUCUUUUUGAGUAAAAGAGGUUUGUCUUUAAAAAAAAAUAAACAAUACAAUGAAUGAAAUAUUUAAAUAAAGUGAGCAAAAUAACCUUUUUAAAAUGUUAAGAUUAUAUCAUAAAUUCAUUAAUAAAACCACCCCAAUAUUAUUUAUUUUAUUUUAAAACAGCAAAGUCAUUACAUGAAUGAAGCCCCAAAAUUCUCAUUAUUAUCAAUAAUUACUUUAGUAAACCCGAUUUAUUCCCAUUAUUUGUUCCUUUUAAAAUAAUACAAAUAAUUACAUGAAAUAAAUGAGCAAAAUUCACAUUUUUUAUUUAUUAAAAUAAUAACUAAUAAAAACCCCAAAUUCCUAUUAUUUAUCAAUUAUAAAACAACAAAAAUGAUUACCUUAACAAAUCCAACAAAUUCACAUUAUUUGUUUAUCUUAAAAUAAAUAAAAAGAACCCUCAAAUUCCAAUUAUGUUUAUUUUGAAAUAACACAAGUAAUGCCCAUAAAUUCCCUGUAUUUGUUAUAACAUAAAUAGAAUAAUGACAUGAACAAAGCCCACAAAUUCCCACUAUUCAUUUACUUUUAAAUAAUAAAAUAAUGACACAAACUAAAUGCACAAAUUCCCAUUGACAUCUGUGUACAUUGUUUAUUAAGGGUCUUACACCACUAGCUAAGAUGACCCUUAAGUGUAUAUUGCAUGUUGACGUCAGUAUUUUGUAUAUUUUACGGUAUCGUACAAAAAAAAAAAAAAAAAAGCUUUUUUUCGACUAUUUAACAGAACAUUACAUGAGAUGCGUGUUGUACUACUAGUACAUGGCCACGAGAGGGAGACAUUGCACAGAGUGUUGGUGGCGUAGGAACUGAAGGCCUUCAUGGUGCCUUCAUUCAUUUUGCAUGAAGUGUAUGAACAAUAGCUGAGUUAAUAUUGCAUUUGAUUUUGCUUUCUCCCCUUUGUCAUUGUUACCCUUUUUAUUGCUGUCCCAGACUAUUAAAAGUUUUGACAUGCG